UGCAACAUCAGUUUUACAGACUUACAGUAUUUAAUAAGCUGUCAUUAAUUGCAUUGCACAUUACAUGGUUGUGCUCUGUAAAUGAAAAACAGGUUAACAGUAUUCCUAAUAGCUAUGAAGUUUUAUUAGCAACCUGGAUUGAACACAGCAGGUGAUACAACAUUCGUAACAACCACGAGAGACUUGAGACUUGACUUGGACUCUAGCUCAAAGACUUGUGAGCAUCUCUGGCUCAUCCACACUACACCCCUGUUGUGGUGCUACUGAAUCUCCCCACUACCUUGUGUUCUUUUGUUCCCCCCUUCCCUGUGUUUUCUGUCUGUCCUCCCUGUCUGUGUCUGUCUGGGUGUGGCUACACUCCCUGGCUCCAGCAGCGCACCUGGCUCUCAUUCCACUAAUCAAGCUCCUGCAGUAUUUCAACCCCAGUCCUCCUCAUAUUCUUCGCCAGAUCGUCAGUUAACCACAUGUGGAUCACACUACCUCCGGGAAACCUGCUGAACGCCACACUCCGCUCUGCUCCUAUCUUGCCUGGACUAACUCCCCUCCUCUGUGUUCUCCAUUCUGCCCUGUUGGAUCCAACCACCCAGUCCUCUGUUGCACCUUUCAAUAAAACCCCUUUGUUACCCCUUCGAA